rnacentral:rRNA from 1 species
UACAGAGGGUGCAAGCGUUGUUCGAAAUCAUUGGGCGUAAAGCGCACGUAGGCGGUGCGGCAAGUCUGAUGUGAAAUCCCCCGGCUCAACCGGGGAGGGUCAUUGGAAACUGCCGUGCUCGAGUGCCGGAGAGGGUGAUGGAAUUCCUGGUGUAGAGGUGAAAUUCGUUGAUAUCAGGAGGAACACCUGAGGCGAAAGCGGUCACCUGGAAGGUCACUGACGCUGAGGUGCGAAGGUAUGGGGAGCAAACAGG